rnacentral:pre_miRNA from 1 species
AAUAUUACCUCCGUCUCAUAUUAUCUAUCCACUUCUAUUAAGGGAAAAGUGGAAAGAUAAUAUGAGACGGAGGGAGUAU